CGGGGCGGGGUGCUAUACAUGCAGUCGAACGAGUUCUGAUUAUUGAAAGGUGCUUGCAUCUUGAUUUAAUUUUGAACGAGUGGCGGACGGGUGAGUAACACGUGGGUAACCUGCCCUUAAGUGGGGGAUAACAUUUGGAAACAGAUGCUAAUACCGCAUAAAUCCAAGAACCGCAUGGUUCUUGGCUGAAAGAUGGCGUAAGCUAUCGCUUUUGGAUGGACCCGCGGCGUAUUAGCUAGUUGGUGAGGUAACGGCUCACCAAGGCAAUGAUACGUAGCCGAACUGAGAGGUUGAUCGGCCACAUUGGGACUGAGACACGGCCCAAACUCCUACGGGAGGCAGCAGUAGGGAAUCUUCCACAAUGGACGCAAGUCUGAUGGAGCAACGCCGCGUGAGUGAAGAAGGCUUUCGGGUCGUAAAACUCUGUUGUUGGAGAAGAAUGGUCGGCAGAGUAACUGUUGUCGGCGUGACGGUAUCCAACCAGAAAGCCACGGCUAACUACGUGCCAGCAGCCGCGGUAAUACGUAGGUGGCAAGCGUUAUCCGGAUUUAUUGGGCGUAAAGCGAGCGCAGGCGGUUUUUUAAGUCUGAUGUGAAAGCCCUCGGCUUAACCGAGGAAGUGCAUCGGAAACUGGGAAACUUGAGUGCAGAAGAGGACAGUGGAACUCCAUGUGUAGCGGUGAAAUGCGUAGAUAUAUGGAAGAACACCAGUGGCGAAGGCGGCUGUCUGGUCUGUAACUGACGCUGAGGCUCGAAAGCAUGGGUAGCGAACAGGAUUAGAUACCCUGGUAGUCCAUGCCGUAAACGAUGAAUGCUAGGUGUUGGAGGGUUUCCGCCCUUCAGUGCCGCAGCUAACGCAUUAAGCAUUCCGCCUGGGGAGUACGACCGCAAGGUUGAAACUCAAAGGAAUUGACGGGGGCCCGCACAAGCGGUGGAGCAUGUGGUUUAAUUCGAAGCAACGCGAAGAACCUUACCAGGUCUUGACAUCUUUUGAUCACCUGAGAGAUCAGGUUUCCCCUUCGGGGGCAAAAUGACAGGUGGUGCAUGGUUGUCGUCAGCUCGUGUCGUGAGAUGUUGGGUUAAGUCCCGCAACGAGCGCAACCCUUAUGACUAGUUGCCAGCAUUUAGUUGGGCACUCUAGUAAGACUGCCGGUGACAAACCGGAGGAAGGUGGGGAUGACGUCAAAUCAUCAUGCCCCUUAUGACCUGGGCUACACACGUGCUACAAUGGAUGGUACAACGAGUUGCGAGACCGCGAGGUCAAGCUAAUCUCUUAAAGCCAUUCUCAGUUCGGACUGUAGGCUGCAACUCGCCUACACGAAGUCGGAAUCGCUAGUAAUCGCGGAUCAGCACGCCGCGGUGAAUACGUUCCCGGGCCUUGUACACACCGCCCGUCACACCAUGAGAGUUUGUAACACCCGAAGCCGGUGGCGUAACCCUUUUAGGGAGCGAGCCGUCUAAAGGUGACCAAAAAU
rnacentral:rRNA from 1 species